rnacentral:ncRNA from 1 species
AGUGACAGGUGGUGCAUGGUUGUCGUCAGCUCGUGUCGUGAGAUGUUGGGUUAAGUCCCGCAACGAGCGCAACCCUUAUUGUUAGUUGCCAUCAUUUAGUUGGGCACUCUAGCGAGACUGCCGGUGACAAACCGGAGGAAGGUGGGGAUGACGUCAAAUCAUCAUGCCCCUUAUGACCUGGGCUACACACGUGCUACAAUGGGAAGUACAACGAGUCGCGAAGUCGCGAGGCUAAGCUAAUCUCUUAAAGCUUCUCUCAGUUCGGAUUGUAGGCUGCAACUCGCCUACAUGAAGCCGGAAUCGCUAGUAAUCGCGGAUCAGCACGCCGCGGUGAAUACGUUCCCGGGCCUUGUACACACCGCCCGUCACACCACGAGAGUUUGUAACACCCGAAGUCGGUGAGGUAACCUUUUGGAGCCAGCCGCCUAAGGUGGGAUAGAUGAUUGGGGUGAAGUCGUAACAAGGUAGCCGUAUCGGAAGGUGCGGCUGGAUCACCUCCUUU